rnacentral:ncRNA from 1 species
UACAAGUCACUUCCGACAAUCGGACGAGCGCACCGUACCCGAACAGCGACAAGACGGUGCAAG